UAAGAAACAGGAAGUCAUUAUUUGCCCAAAGCAAACAAACUCACAAACUGCCGGGUUCACAUUCAGUCCAAAGUUCCCGUCCUAGGAGGUGCGCAUGUGGGCUGAGGACGCGGGGACCGAGCAACGACUGCGGGCCACACACACAGCCGGCAGGGUUUCACAGCCGCGGCUUGCAGGAAGCCUGAGGAUGAUGAGCACUGUCUGGGCUCCAGUUCUGCACGCUUUGCCAUUCAUGUAUCCUGGCUCAGCUGACAAGCCGGAGGAGAUCGAUGGAGAAGGAAAUUUCAAGGAUGAUUCUGCAUUUCCCAUGCCCUGCCUGAAACAUUGCAGAUGCCUUCUGACUGGUCUUCCAGCCUAG
rnacentral:lncRNA from 1 species